rnacentral:lncRNA from 1 species
CCCCAACUGACAGUCUGGAGUUGAGAAGUGAAGCCUGAAGGGGGCAGAUCUGAUCUCUCCUGGAGUCCCUUGGACAUCUUGGAAACAGCCUCUUUGAAUAUCAUCAAGCAAGAGUGAGCAGGAGUUUCCAGCAAUACCCUCUGGUGGACAGAGAGGAAAAUUGGAGGAAAUCAGUCUAUCUUUUGGACUUCUGAGGACUCAGCUGGAUUCCUGUACCUGACUCAUCAAAGGACUCUCUGAGUAUUUCACAAAACCCAAAGUGGGGGAAUAGAAUAAUUUAACCUGAAAAGUAAAAGAGCUCAAGAUGUGACCCAAAGUGACAUACUCUGAAAAUAUGAACAUAAUCAUCAAUGAAAGAAGAUGGACAUUCAAUAAAAGAGAGAUUUGGGCAUAAUCCUUUUUUUAAGAGGAGAUUGAGUUCAGUGGAGGACUGGAAUCCAGCUUGGAGAAGGUCUCUUGAAACAGAAGCCCAGGAUAAUUUUACAGUGUGUGUAGGAUCAUGAAGGCAGCAACCAGGUU